CUCCAAAAGUACACAUAUUGAAUUUAAAACAGAUUAGCAUAUCUCUGAAUGAGCAUCAACAGUUUUAUUCAAUAAUAGCAUUCAUUAGACUACAUAUUAUCAUGUUACAUAUCUAGUUCUCCACUUCACUUGUGGGCUCACCAAACAGGAAAAUUUCUAUUUUCUAAAUGUUUUUGUCUCCUGUACUUAGUACACAGAUCUCAGUCAAAAGAUACUUCUCUUUUUUUAUAAUUUAAAUCUUAUUUUUCCUUUUACAAUAAAGAUAUUUUCCAAACACCUGAAAUAAUCAUGGCCAUUCCAUGUUUUUAUUGUAGGUAUUUUAAUAUUUGCAUGUGCUACCAAGUUCUUAUCUAUAGAAUUCAUAUUUUAUAUGACUGGUAUUUUGAAAUUUGCUUGUGUAUUCCUUCAUUCACUCAUUGUUCCAAAAAUAAAUAAUAAAGCAACUCCUGUGUGUUGGGCACUAAGCUAUAUGUUAGGAAUUAAAUAGAUAGAUGUGGCAUUUACUUUUAGACAUCAACUUGACCAGAUUAAGGGGUAUGUAGGGAGCUAGAAAUGUCUCAUUUCUGGAUGUGUCUGUGAGGGUGUUUCCAGAUGACAUCAACAUGUGAGGUCAUUGACUGAGAGGAAAGAUGCUCUUAAUGUGGGCAGGUACCAUUUAAUUGUCUAGGUUCCUGAGUCCUGGGUCCUGGAUAAAUCAAAAAAAAAAAGUUGAGGAAAGGAAAAAUUUCUCUAUCUCUUUUCUCAUGGAGCUGGGAUACUCUUUUCCUGCCCUGGAACAUGGCUCUGGGACUUUUAUCAGAAGACUUCCAGCCUUCUCAGACCUUAAUCCUGUAAAUGAGAAGUACACCAUCUGCUUCUCUGGGUCUGAGGACUUUCAGCAGAGGUUUAGCCAUUCCACUGGCCUCCCUGGGUCUCCAGCUAGCAGAUUGCCUGUGAUCUCUCAGCCUUCAUAAGUACUUCAAAUAAUUCCCUAAAUUAACCCUCUGUUACCACUCUCCUCUCUCUCUCUCUCUCUCUCUCUCUCUCUCUCUCUAUCAGUAGUGUCUAUCUAUAUUCAAUGUGUAAAACAACUCAAUUUCUACUUUCCUGGAAUUUGUGACUACUGAGAGAGCCUUUAGUUAUUCAAUAAUCAUAAAUAAAUGUAUAAUUAUCACUUGACCAUAUUACCAUUUGAUAAGUGCUAUGUUGCUAUGGAUAUAAUAAACUUUUAACAAGCGAUGAUAUUAGAAAAUUUUAAGGCAGGGUGAUCUGAACACUGAAAAUAGCUAAAUAGAGAAAACAAAGAACAUUUUAGGAAAAAGAAGGACCAUGGUAAAAGGUUCAUUGCACAAAAACAGAUGGAGGUGGGAGAUGGGGUGCAAAUGGAGACUGGUCUACAUGUUCAUCUUUCUUCAUAGGAUGAAGUGAUUCUUCCAUUUUGUCUUUGACUGAUGCUUUUUGUCUAACUGCAAUUUCUUAGGAAUUUCAUACUUCCUAGGUUGAUGUUUCAGGUUUCCUUCUAAGCCCUUCUUCCACAAAUUCCCUCUAUCAUUUUCUUCCACAUUGUUAAUAUUGAGAAUUUAAAUUUAAUGCCAUCAAUGAUUUGAUAUUUUCAGUCAUUGUCUACUUUUAACCCUAUUCGAUGUAUAUUUUGAAUAUAUGCUUAUCUUAAUUUAAUUCCUUGAAAACUUGCCUUACUGUUUUCAUCUCUCUAUUGAAUUUAUGGUCUAUUUUUCCCUAAAAUUUAUAUUUUUAUCUCAUAAAUGUUACUGGAU
rnacentral:lncRNA from 1 species